rnacentral:misc_RNA from 1 species
UACGAAGGGGGCUAGCGUUGUUCGGAAUUACUGGGCGUAAAGCGCACGUAGGCGGAUAUUUAAGUCAGGGGUGAAAUCCCGCAGCUCAACUGCGGAACUGCCUUUGAUACUGGGUAUCUUGAGUAUGGAAGAGGUGAGUGGAAUUCCGAGUGUAGAGGUGAAAUUCGUAGAUAUUCGGAGGAACACCAGUGGCGAAGGCGGCUCACUGGUCCAUAACUGACGCUGAGGUGCGAAAGCGUGGGGAGCAAACAGG